AACGAACGCUGGCGGCAGGCCUAACACAUGCAAGUCGAACGCCCUAGCAAUAGGGAGUGGCAGACGGGUGAGUAACACGUGGGAACCUUCCCUAUAGUAUGGAAUAGCCCAGGGAAACUUGGAGUAAUACCGUAUACGCCCGAGAGGGGAAAGAUUUAUCGCUAUAGGAUGGGCCCGCGUAGGAUUAGCUAGUUGGUGAGGUAAUGGCUCACCAAGGCGACGAUCCUUAGCUGGUCUGAGAGGACGACCAGCCACACUGGGACUGAGACACGGCCCAGACUCCUACGGGAGGCAGCAGUGGGGAAUAUUGGACAAUGGGCGCAAGCCUGAUCCAGCCAUGCCGCGUGAGUGAUGAAGGCCUUAGGGUUGUAAAGCUCUUUUGCCGGGGACGGAUAAUGACGGUACCCGGAGAAUAAGUCCCGGCUAACUUCGUGCCAGCAGCCGCGGUAAU
rnacentral:rRNA from 1 species